rnacentral:lncRNA from 1 species
AUAAGAGAAAGAAAUAAAAAAAAAAGAGAAGUCUUGAAGCACUUAUCUAGGAAGUCUAUGGUUGGCAAAAAGUUCGCAUAAAGAGAGCAAUAAAAGAAAAUAUAUGCGCCAAUGAACCUCAACAAAGAAAAAAUGGUGUCUAGAAGAAAUAACCCCGAGUUUGAAAAAAGAACAAACGUCACAAGGGUAACAACAUGAAAU